rnacentral:lncRNA from 1 species
UCUACCUUGAUCGACAGAAUGUUAAGUUGAAUCUUGGAAGGUUCCGUAAAAGAUUGCUUCGCGCCUAUUAUCAUUCUGUCGCUAAUGAAAGCGCGCGCUUUCGCCUUCAAAGUCAGUAAUUGUAUACCUUUUUGUGGUUCAUCAAAUAUAUUUACUCAAUUGUGAAAGUUAGUAGAGUUGUACAUCAUGAUUCAGAAUAAAAGAAAUGAACAUUGAUUCUUGUUUGUGUAAUCAUCUGGUAUUCGAAACUCACUAGCUCACUGGCCGAUCAUCUCGAUUCUUUGGCUUACUAUCGGGGAUUUGCCACGUAUAAAGUUUCUGUAAUCCGAGCGGACUAGGAAUCACAUCCAUCCUAUCGUAGUUCUCGAAGGAAAC